rnacentral:ncRNA from 2 species
UGAGAACUUUGAAGGCCGA